UACGGGGGGAGCAAGCGUUGUUCGGAUUUACUGGGCGUAAAGGGCGCGUAGGCGGUCGUGACAAGUCACUUGUGAAAUCUCCGGGCUUAACUCGGAACGGUCAAGUGAUACUGUCGGACUAGAGUACAGAAGGGGCAACUGGAAUUCUCGGUGUAGCGGUGAAAUGCGUAGAUAUCGAGAGGAACACCUGCGGCGAAGGCGGGUUGCUGGGCUGAUACUGACGCUGAAGCGCGAAAGCCAGGGGAGCGAACAGG
rnacentral:rRNA from 1 species